UACGUAGGGUGCGAGCGUUGUCCGGAAUUAUUGGGCGUAAAGAGCUUGUAGGCGGUCUGUUGCGUCUGCUGUGAAAAUCCGGGGCUCAACCCCGGACUUGCAGUGGGUACGGGCAGACUAGAGUGUGGUAGGGGAGACUGGAAUUCCUGGUGUAGCGGUGGAAUGCGCAGAUAUCAGGAGGAACACCGAUGGCGAAGGCAGUUCUCUGGGCCGUAACUGACGCUGAGGAGCGAAAGCGUGGGGAGCGAACAGG
rnacentral:rRNA from 1 species